rnacentral:rRNA from 1 species
UACGUAGGGCGCAAGCGUUAUCCGGAAUUAUUGGGCGUAAAGAGCUCGUAGGCGGUUUGUCGCGUCUGCUGUGAAAUCCCGAGGCUCAACCUCGGGCUUGCAGUGGGUACGGGCAGACUAGAGUGCGGUAGGGGAGAUUGGAAUUCCUGGUGUAGCGGUGGAAUGCGCAGAUAUCAGGAGGAACACCGAUGGCGAAGGCAGAUCUCUGGGCCGUAACUGACGCUGAGGAGCGAAAGCAUGGGGAGCGAACAGG